UACGAGGGGUGCAAACAUUAUUCGGAAUCACUGGGCGUAAAGGGUGCGUAGACGGCAAUUCAAGUCAAUUAUGAAAUCUCCCAGCUUAACUGGGAAUCUGUAGUUGAGACUGUGUUGCUUGAGGAUGGAAGAGAGAAGUGGAAUUCUCGGAGUAGCGGUAAAAUGCGUAGAUCUCGAGAGGAACACCGAUGGCGAAGGCAGCUUCUUGGUCCAUUUCUGACGUUGAGGUACGAAAGCGUGGGGAGCAGACAGGAUUAGAUACCCUGGUAGU
rnacentral:rRNA from 1 species